rnacentral:rRNA from 1 species
GUGCCAGCAGCCGCGGUAAUACAGAGGUGGCAAGCGUUGUUCGGAAUUACUGGGCGUAAAGGGCGCGUAGGCGGCCUUGUAAGUCCCGUGUGAAAGCCCCCGGCUCAACUGGGGAAUUGCACGGGAAACUGCGGGGCUUGAGUUCGGGAGAGGGAAGCGGAAUUCCGGGUGUAGCGGUGAAAUGCGUAGAUAUCCGGAGGAACACCAGUGGCGAAGGCGGCUUCCUGGACCGACACUGACGCUGAGGCGCGAAAGCUAGGGGAGCAAACGGGAUUAGAUACCCUUGUAGUCC